UUUAAUAUCUCUAGAUAUUUUUCAUAUUUAGUUUGCGUACAACAGUUAACAACUUUAAGCUUAUACAUUAACUUUAGUUAUAACUUAAUUAUUAAUGAUUUGAUUUAUAGAUUUUUAAAGCAAUACAAGAUUGAAUUUAGCAUAAGGCUAAAUUUCUGCUCUGGAGACAAAAAAGGAAGACAGCGAAAAUGACCAGUCAAAAUAAAGAUUGAAGAGACAAAAAAUUGUGUAUAUCUUUUUUCUGAAACUUAUGUUUUUCUUAGUGUUCAUUCUUAGUCGUCAUUGAAGUACAACUUGGUACACUACAAAAUACAUCAAAUUCAGUUAUAAAAAUUUGAGUAACAAAGGUAUACUAAUUAUUGUAUUGCCUGAAAGAGUGUCAUUGCUAUUAAAAGCAAUGAAGAAUUCAAGUACUCUGGAAGAAAAGAAAAUAAGUCAAUUAUUUGGCACAAAUUGGAGUUAAAGACAAAGGAGAUUGUAUAUUUUAUUUGCUAAGAAUAGUUUUUUAAAAUGGCCUAGUCGUAAAAUUAAACUAUGCAGGGAGAGGACAAAAAAUUGGAAUAGAAAAAAUGUUGAUUGCAUAUGCUGCUAUUGAAACUGUGAAGU
rnacentral:lncRNA from 1 species